CCCCAAACGAAAAAAAGAGAAGAAAACAAGAAGAGAGAAGAACAAGAGACGAAACCAUUUUCCCUUUUUCCAUUCUUUCUUUCUUUUUUCUUUUCUUUUUUCUCUUUUCU
rnacentral:ribozyme from 13 species